rnacentral:lncRNA from 10 species
GGGACCUGCGCGCCCUUGGGAGCAGGCGCAGGCUGGAUCCAUGGGGCCUCGCUGCCCGGGGACCCUCCUUGCUUUUUGAGGCCCUAGAGACGCUGCCAGGAGCUAGGGAGGAAGGGAAGAGGCGGAGGUGAAGUGGUGGCAAGGGGCGGCGCCGGCCACUUGGGGAAGGCGUGUGCCGCGGCUGACAACACCCCUCUCAUGCCUCUCCAUCCACCGCCCGCCUCCCCGAGGCCAGUCACCUCCCUCGCUGUCCUCUCCAAGCUGUGCCCCUGGUCCCCGAGCUCCUUUAAGGAUCGCUGGUACCCGACGCAGCUCUCGCGUCUAAACGGCACGGCGGGCGCUCCACAGUUGGCACCCCCGUGGCCUCGGGAGCUCAGGAGGAGCUGCUGCCCAAACAGGAGGAGCCCUCGCCAAACCUGGGGGUCAGAAAGGGAACUCACAUUUAUAGUUCCGGCUGCGAGCCAGGCCUGCUGGCCACUUACUGAGCAGUGUUUUAUUUAAGCCUCACCACAGUCCCAGAUUGGAAUUGCUGUCUUCGGUGAAGACUAGGGCACCGGCGCUGGGAGGUGAAGUCACUUGCCUGCGAUGCCUCACCCAGUCCCUAGCUGAGCGGGUUUAAACCCAGGUCUUCAGGAUUCCGAGUCCUGCAGGCUUUCCGCUCAGAGCCCGGAGCCCGGCCACCGGUUCUACCACUUGAGUCUCCCAUGCGCAAGGCACUAGACCUUUCUGAGCCCCAGUUCCCUCGCCUGUAUCAUUAAAACGUACUGCCACCUGAGCAUGUGUGAAGAUUUAGCAAAUACCAGAACACACCGUGCAAACUGUAAAGUACAGUUCACAUACCAUUGGGUGCAGUUUAUGUCCCAGGCGUUGGAUGUUGGCCAGUGCCCAUAGGAAUAGGGGCCAGCCUGUCCUCCAGCCCUGGCGUUGCAGGAGGCAGAGGGUCAGGUAAUAAUUACAAGGAGGAGGGCGGGAGCAUAACCCUGCCUGGUGAGGCUCGCAUUUUCCUGGAAGGACGGGUUGGUCUCUCAGCUGAGGGCCCAGGACACAGUAGAGCCUGCAGAGAGCAGGGCCCCUGGGCGGGGAGGCAGGUAGGUUAGGGAUUAGAGGGGAGACUGGAGGGUGUGUGGCACCAAAUAUCCUACCAAGGCCGUUGGGCAUUAUCCUAGAGGCGGUAGCCACGGGGUAUUCUGAGCAAGAUGAUC